UGAAAUCUCUCUCACGUAUCUCUUCGUAUGCGAAAUCUCUCCAAGUACGUCAAAUCUCUCCCAAAUCUCUCUGAGAACGAGGAAUCUCUCUCAAAUCUCUCUCGAAAUCUCUCCCAACUUUCUAUAAUCACUCGGGGCAUCCCGACCCUCGAAUUUGGCGAAAAUAGCCCAAGAACGGAAGUCUACGCGAAAAACGGACUUAAGGAAACGAACCCUCCGAACCGAAAGUACUAUUCAUGAACCGAACCGAAAGCACUAUUCAUGAGGGUCCGAACCGAAAGUACUGUUCAUGAGCUGGACCGAAGUUACUGUUCAUCCGAACCGAACCCGGCCAUGAAGGAGAUCCGAACCGAACCCUGCUAAGAAGAAAGGUCCGAACCGAACCUCACAUGGAAGGAAGGUCCGAACCGAAGUUACUGUUCACAACAGUACCUUCGGUUCUAGCCUGCCUCGGACCGAACCUCUACCUUCGCGUCGGACUACUUCCCUUCGGACCGAACCACCCGCCUUCACUUCUCGCCUUCGCUUCGGAUAGCAUCACCUCGGACCGAGCCACCCUUCGCGCCUUCGCCUCCGGAUUCAACCACCCGCGUCCGAACCAAGCCCCGCCUGACCGGACUUCGGCCUAGGGACCGAGCUUCGGCCUAGGUCCGAAGAAACUCGCUGGAAAUUACAUUUUUCGCCCGUUUUUGCGUAUUUUUGCGUUUUAAACCCAUUUUUAAUUAUUUUAACAUGGGAUUUUCACCCAAAACUUUAUUUUUAAUUAUAAGACCCCUAAAUUAAUGAUUUAAUCACAUUUUAAGGAUAAAAUCUUAUUUAAAAAGGGGUUGGUAAAGUACAAAAAGAAGAGUGUUGACCUUACCUUAGUUAUGACGCAAGCAACCCCCACACCCACUCCAUGACAACCCACACUCCUCUCCACCAUACCUUGUACUUUUUACCUCCCUCACAAGCCAUCUCCAUGCUUUGAGAGCUGGAUAUUCAUCCUCUCUCCUCAUUUUUCUCUCAUUUGUUCUCAUUUCACAAGAAGAUCAAACUCCUUUCUCUCUCACUCUCUCUCUCUAGAAAUCCGAGAUUCAAGGGCUGAUCUUGAGAGUUUCCUCCACCUUUGGUAAGCAUAAUCCAUUUCCUUUAUGAUUAUCUCAAUUAUUUCCACUCAAAUCAUGGAUAUCUUACACAAACUCCAUUAUAUUUGUGUUAGAGCUUCGAAUCUUCAAGCGAUUCCUCUAGUGUUCUUGGGUUGAACACUUCUCUUCUUUAACACUUAUCCAAUGAAAUCACACAAAGUGAGUUCAUAACCCUACAUUUUCAUGUUUUCUCAAGUUUUUAGGGGGGGAAUACAAGUCAAAACAUCAAGAACAUAUUUAAAUUCUUAUAACAGCUUUCAUCAGAAACGUUAGAUUCC
rnacentral:lncRNA from 1 species